rnacentral:rRNA from 1 species
GACGAACGCUGGCGGCGUGCUUAACACAUGCAAGUCGAACGGAAAGGCCCUGCUUUUGUGGGGUGCUCGAGUGGCGAACGGGUGAGUAACACGUGAGUAACCUGCCCUUGACUUUGGGAUAACUUCGGGAAACUGGGGCUAAUACCGGAUAGGAGCUCCUGCUGCAUGGUGGGGGUUGGAAAGUUUCGGCGGUUGGGGAUGGACUCGCGGCUUAUCAGCUUGUUGGUGGGGUAGUGGCUUACCAAGGCUUUGACGGGUAGCCGGCCUGAGAGGGUGACCGGCCACAUUGGGACUGAGAUACGGCCCAGACUCCUACGGGAGGCAGCAGUGGGGAAUAUUGCACAAUGGGCGGAAGCCUGAUGCAGCAACGCCGCGUGCGGGAUGACGGCCUUCGGGUUGUAAACCGCUUUCGCCUGUGACGAAGCGUGAGUGACGGUGAUGGGUAAAGAAGCACCGGCUAACUACGUG